rnacentral:tRNA from 2 species
GCGACGCUAGCUCAGUUGGUAGAGCGCAACCUUGCCAAGGUUGAGGUCACGAGUUCGAACCUCGUGUGUCGCUCCA